rnacentral:lncRNA from 1 species
CUUUUUCCAUGUGUAGGAACUUGCAAGGAUGGCAGGAGGCUACAGAGAGCAGACUUGAAACCCUGUGAAAAGAAGAAAUAAGCAAAGCAAGAGGAUAAGCCCUGGGAGAACAGCGUGCUUCCCAGUGUCUGCCUCGUCCUGCACAGUAAGAGCCAGGUCAACUUCAGGAAAUAAGCAAGGCCUCUAAAAGGAAGCACGACCAGAAAAUACAGCACAACUAGGAGCAUAUGGAAGGGAUCCAAGAAGUGGAGACCAUCAUUCGGUAAUAGAAUCUGCUUUGGAGAUGAGAGAGCCUAGAAGGAUGCCCAAUGCCCAGAGACAUACCAGAGAUGCUUUUAAAGUUCUACAAGCAACAUUUUCAUGUUCAAUGUGGAGGUCAGUAAGAGACCAAAAAUCCCAAAUCCCAGAUUGUACCUCCUACUCUCUGUGAUGGAUUAGAAAGAAAACAGGAUCCUCUUCAUCCUUCAAGACCCAGUCAGUUUUGUCGCCUCUGAGAAGUCUUCUCCUGUGUCUGCUUCCACCCCACCCUGCUUCAGGAAGACUCACGUUGCCUAGAAUUCAACAACCACCCUGGAACUGUGCCUUCUGUUUUUUAUGUUUCAGAUACAUACCCAUACCCCAAUAAUUCUACCAAAUUUAAGCUAUCUUUAUGAAACUAAAUAUGAAGAUUCAAAUUAGAUUUAAAACUCAUUUAGCUAAUCUGUUCCAAAAGCAACUUCUGUCUGUUAAUUGGUCGUUUGGUAAGCAGCUUUAGACUCAUUUUAGUACCUUAACUUAAAAUACCACUCUCGGCACACA